UAGAGGAAGUAAAAGUCGUAACAAGGUUUCCGUAGGUGAACCUGCGGAAGGAUCAUUAAAGAAUUUUGAAAGGGGUUGUAGCUGGCCGGAAGGCAUGUGCACGCCUCGAUCAUCAUCCAUCUCACACCUGUGCACACACUGUAGGUCGGUUUGUGGGGCGAGAUCUUCAUUGAUUUUGCUUUGCGGGCCUUCCUAUGUUUAUCACAAACUACUAGUUUAAAGAAUGUCUACCGCGUGUAACGCAUUUAUAUACAACUUUCAGCAACGGAUCUCUUGGCUCUCGCAUCGAUGAAGAACGCAGCGAAAUGCGAUAAGUAAUGUGAAUUGCAGAAUUCAGUGAAUCAUCGAAUCUUUGAACGCACCUUGCGCUCCUUGGUAUUCCGAGGAGCAUGCCUGUUUGAGUGUCAUGGAAUUCUCAACUUCAUUUGCUUUUGUGAAUGAAGCUUGGACUUGGAGGUAUUGCUGGCCGUAAGGUCGACUCCUCUUGAAUUUAUUAGCUCGAACCUUUGUGGAUCAGCUUCGGUGUGAUAAUUGUCUAGCGCCGUUCUGUGAAGCAUAACUAUGGGUUUCGGCUUCCAAUAGUCCUUCACUGGACAAUAUCUUUGACCUUUGACCUCAAAUCAGGUAAGAUUACCCGCUGAACUUAAGCAUAUCAAUAA
rnacentral:rRNA from 1 species